GACGAACGCCGGCGGCGUGCCUAAUACAUGCAAGUAGAACGCUGAAGAGAGGAGCUUGCUCUUCUUGGAUGAGUUGCGAACGGGUGAGUAACGCGUAGGUAACCUGCCUGGUAGCGGGGGAUAACUAUUGGAAACGAUAGCUAAUACCGCAUAAUAGCAGUUAUUGCAUGAUAACUGUUUGAAAGGUGCAAAUGCAUCACUACCAGAUGGACCUGCGUUGUAUUAGCUAGUUGGUGGGGUAACGGCUCACCAAGGCGACGAUACAUAGCCGACCUGAGAGGGUGAUCGGCCACACUGGGACUGAGACACGGCCCAGACUCCUACGGGAGGCAGCAGUAGGGAAUCUUCGGCAAUGGACGGAAGUCUGACCGAGCAACGCCGCGUGAGUGAAGAAGGUUUUCGGAUCGUAAAGCUCUGUUGUAAGAGAAGAAACGAGUGUGAGAAGUGGAAAG
rnacentral:rRNA from 1 species